GUGUCAGCCGCCGCGGUAAUACGUAGGAGGCGAGCGUUAUCCGGAUUUAUUGGGCGUAAAGAGCGCGUAGGCGGCCUAUUAAGUCGGUUGUGAAAUCUCUCGGCUUAACUGAGAGGGGUCAACCGAAACUGGUGGGCUUGAGGACAGAAGAGGAAAGUGGAAUUCCCGGUGUAGUGGUGAAAUGCGUAGAUAUCGGGAGGAACACCAGUGGCGAAGGCGGCUUUCUGGGCUGUUCCUGACGCUGAGGCGCGAAAGCGUGGGUAGCAAACAGGAUUAGAUACCCUGGUAGUCCACGCCGUAAACUAUGGACACUAGGUAUGGGGGGUAUCGACCCCCUCCGUGCCGAAGUUAACGCUAUAAGUGUCCCGCCUGGGGAGUACGGCCGCAAGGCUAAAACUCAAAGGAAUUGGCGGGG
rnacentral:rRNA from 1 species